ensembl:lncRNA
UAUUUCGCUGCGUGCUUUAUACUCAUGGGGAAAAUACCUCGGGGUUGUCCUAUGCCGUUUUAAGUACACUCUGGGGUCCUUCUCAUAACCACCUACCCCCCCUUUUCCCCCCGUCUAACUCCAGUGUCAACCUUGCAGCUGUUAUUUUCAUAUACUACAAAAGUCUCUUGCAUCGCCAUGACUCGUGCACAUCCCCCGGUCCAGUCUUCUGGAAGGGUGUGGCGUACGUCCCAGUCAGGACCACAGGCCCACCACAUGUCUGCUGGGGGAACAUAUUUGACCUUUGACCCAGCGUCGCAUAGGUAUUAGUAGUCUGAGCUGAACAUCUUUGACCUUUGACCCAGCGUCGCAUAGGUAUUAGUAGUCUGGUUGCCCACAUUGACAUUUAGUCAUUUAGCAGACGCCUUUAUCCAAAGCGACUUACAAGGAUGUAUACACAUUUUUACAUUUACACUGAUGGCACACUGCACAUCAGGAGCAAUUAGGGGUUCAGUGUCUUGCUCAAGGACGCUUCGACAGGGAAUCGAACUAGCAACCUUCUGCUUCCUAAACGACUUCUUUACCUCCUGUACCACUGUCGCCCAUUUAUACCAUGUAUUACCCUGGGCCUGUCUCCCCAGCUAGAAGGGUCCCUCUCCUGUUGGUAAAGAUGGAGAAGGCACGAAAGAAAAGAGAAACGCUACGAACAGCAUCAUACCCACCAGCGGCAGGAGCUUCUGGAGCCCCAGGUCUUUCCGGUUCUGCUUCCCGCUCCUGCUCUAGAUCGUUCCCUUCGGGAACACCCUCAUUUUUGGCAUGCAGCUCAUGCCCUGGCCUGGCUGCCGUCUCUCCUUCUUCCAGUGGCUCUGUGGCUCUGAAGGGGUAUUAAAGGGGGUACCACACCUCUGGUCCCUGCACUCUUACCGCCGUUUGAGUGGCUUCUGUCACCCUGUAUGAUCCCUCGGACCUUGGCUGAAGGCAAGACCUUUUGAACACCUUCAGGUACCCCCAGUCUCCUGGUUGUACUGGCCUUCUGAUUCCUGCCUCCAGGGCCGGUGGUGGUUCCUGCUGCUUCGCCUUCGUGUGUAAAUAACUUUUGUGAAUCAGAGUUGAUUGUUGCACAGAAUGGCAAAGUUCUUUUUUGGAACUGCUCCAGAGGGGGUCCCCUGCUUGGCUCCCUGAUCCGUGGGACUGGCAUUGGUCGCCCUGUAAGAAUCUUGUGAGGGGUGAGGUGUGUGCUGCGGUUUUGCUGCGAGCGCAUUUGCAUUAGAGCAAUGGGCAAAGCAUCCAGCCAGUUGAGGUAAGAGCCGGCACAGAUUUUAGCCAUUUUCAGCAUGGCAUUUGCUCUCUCCGCCAUCCCCUGACUUCGGGCAUCUUUCGCACUUACACAUGUGUAAGUUGCUCCGGUAUCUACCAUUAGUGAAAUUUCUCCGCCCCCAAUUUGAACCUGCAGCGUAGGUUCCUUUGCAGCUCCCCUUGAUAAAUUCGGAAACUGACCCUCCUCGUUAAGAUUCUCUCGCCCCCAUCAAUAGUAAUCGCCCCCCUAAGGGUCCGUUGGGUCCACCCUGCAUCGCAGAGCCGUCUCCCUUUACGGCGGGCAGCCAUUUUGUUGUAAGGCAACCAUUUUGUCACAGAAUCUAACUUGUUUUCAGAUGUCCAUGUCCCAGCGUCAGUAGUUUAAAACACAAUAAUCUCUCCACUUAAAUGGCAACAUCUGGAAAGUGACAACACCCAUACAUCUAAAACUGCUGAAAACAUCAGGAACAUUUAGCAUUUUUAGCUAAAAACAAUAUAAUUCAAUGCAACAUUCACAAAUACAUAUAUA